UUAUAUAUUAUGCCUUUCAGGAUGCUUAUAAUUCCAACUAAAUGUUAAGUAAAAUAGUACUUUGUAUACCAUUUUCUAAAAUAGCUUGUUGAAUACAUUGGCUUAUAUUCUUCUCUAGUGUGGAUACUUAAAAGGCAUAGUCUUUCACAAAACUCCACCACGUAGCACUUGCCACUAGGCAAUGACAUGGCGACAUGUCAUGCAACGAGCUUGAUUUGUAAUAUCAGUCUGCCUUCUAAGUGAUCUAUCUAACCUUUAUAAUUGCAUGUCCAACUUGCCGCCGCCUACUACUAUUAGUUCCACCUUUUUCACCAAUAAUCCAUGACUUCAUAUGAAACUAACUAUAAUGAAAAGAAAUUGUGUAUUGUACGGGAAGAAAUACUAAUAUCCAUCUAAACUCAGAAGUACUCACAACAAAGAAGGAUUUAGCAGCGAAAAUUGGAAAAUAAUAAUUUCAAGCUGGUUAUGAAUUAUUUUCCCUGAGACCUCACUUUACCAUGCUUUAAAUCUUGCGUUGACUUCUUCCCCGUAGUACCCAGUCCAGAAGAUUGCUAUUGCCAAUCUGUAUUUCCCCUUUUGCUUACGUAGUGGAGCAUUGAUGUGAAUUUGCACUCUGCCAAUUGCCAGCACGUUUGUGUAAUAGACUGGAUAAUCAGAUAGUAAAAGUGAGAAAGCAGUAGACAAUUGGGGGCGGGGGUAGAUUAUUGGUUGUAUUAGUGCUGCGAUACAAUCGUAUACUAUUCGUCAUACAAUCCCAGGCUAUACUCCACUAUAAACUAAAAACAAAACAAUAUAAAACUCUCAUCAUUUUCAUCAAGCUUUCUCUUUCCCUAAACUCCUCUAUUUGUUAACUAACUCCUCCUUGAAUGUUAGUCCUCUUUCCGUAUUAAUUUGUUUUUAUUUGUUAGUCCCUUUUGAAAUCUUUCCUUAUUUGUCCAAUAUUUAUCCUCAUUAUACCAUUGUAAAUAUCCAAAUGACCCACUUGCUUACUCCCAAGUAAACCUUUAUCUCCAUUAUACCCUUUUAUUAUUUAUCUCUCCUAACCACAUGAGUUAGCUUCUAUUGAGAUUCACGUGACAUGUGUACUUAAGUUGAAUUGUCCUAGAAUCCAAAAUGGACUAAUAUUCAAGAACGGAGGGAGUAUAGUAUUAUUUUUUCCAGCUUCAUGCCCUAUCGUUCUGGUAGCUUCACUCUUGGUUGUGUAUGACGUGCAAUGAGUAUAGAUUUGUAUAGAGAUUUCUAGAAGCCUCCUUUUAUUUACUUGUUCCUUUGGAAGUGAUAACUUUCUAGAAUCUUAGAAAACACUCAUUUAGAGGAAAAAUUCUAUAGGGAUUUAGGAUAUAAAUAGGAUCCUCUCAUUUGUACAUAGCGUCCAAACACUGGUAAAACUCUCUCAAGCAAUACAAAAUAUUCUUUAAAAGCGUACUUAUUUUGUGAUUUCACACUUAGUUUUCGUUGCAUCAGUUAAGCCUAGCCGCACUUUGUUAGUGCUAAUCAACGAAAUUGGGCUAAGUUGAUGUAUGUUGCCCAAUUCUCCCUCAACUUGCUCAUAGGUCCAGUGGUCCCAACUGUGGGAAAAACGAAAUGGAGAACCAAAUAGGGGAGAAACAAAAGAAAAGAUGGUUCGGGGAAAUGUUAUUCUAUAAAAAUGUUAAUUAGAAACAUGUUUAGGGAUUUUAUUUCUGUAGAAAAAUUGUUGGUGGAUUGGACAAAGGAACGAGUGUUUGUAAUGAACCAACCUGAUGUGGGCCGUUUUCCAUUGGUUUACAGCAGAAGACAAAAAGGGACACACAAAGCAACACAAGUCAGAAACUAGGCAAGGCAUCAAGGGGGCGUUUCCACUACUGCUAGCAGAAAAGGACAACAACAACUCAUUAAAUCAAGUGUACUAUGCGAUAGGCUUUAGUGCAUAAAUGGUAGAGCAAGAGAGAGAAAGCUAUUGUGUUUUGUAUUAACUAAAGAGAUUUGUGGCCUCAAGUCACUUCCUUGAGAGUUGUAGCCUAAAGCUACUAGUUUUUAUUGUCCGUACUAGUUGGUUGAAAUCAGAAAUCAAAGCUUCCUCUUUGCCAAGAGUGUUGAGGAGACCCACAAAAACCAUGAAGUUGUGGAGGGAGCCACUGCGUUUGGAAGGUAGGAUUGAUCGGUACAGAGAGGAGCAGAGUGCUCAAAUGAACAUCAUGAAACGCGACCAGGAGCGGUAUCAGGAGGAAAUGAAGAAUCUCCUGGCCAGCUAUAAAGAGCCCAGAAAUUCGCCCAUACACUCAUUCGAAGAGCAGGAGGGAGACAUGCCCUUGUUCGAGGGAAAGGAUCUAGAUGGGUGGAUUCUUAGAGGGGAGGAAUAUUUCGAUUUUUACAAGUUGACUGAAAGUGAGAAGAUGGACGCGGUGGUGGUAUCUCUGGAAGGGGACGCCUUGCGGUGGUACACGUUCGAAUCACGCCGCCACCCAACGCGUACCUGAGCGGAGCUAAAGGUGAAGGUGCUGGUGAUGUUCCGGCCGACGAAUGUUGGGACUCUCCACGAGCAAUGGCUCGCCACCUCCCAAACCACCACGGUGGAGGAGUACCAGAAGGCGUUCAUGGAGUUUGCGUCGCCAUUGAAUGAUAUCCCAGAGAGUAUUAUGAUGGGUCAGUUUAUGAAUGGGCUGAAGGAUAAGAUUAAGUCUGAGAUUCGGGUUCUAAACCCGUAUACGUUGGAGGACGCUAUGGACUUAGUAAUUAGGGUUGAGGAAAGGAAUCGGGUUCAAGGCCUGAAAAGAAAUGGGGUUGGCCCAACUAAAAAUGGGACCUUCUCCUAUUUUAGCAAGAGCUAAAUAGCCACAACUUAAGGUAGUGGGCCUCAAUCUCAACCUUUGGGUUCUAAGUCUAACCAAUCAGUGAGGAACAUUACCGGCAAAACAAACACAGCCAACGCAAACUCUUUCAAUGGGUCAAAUACUUUUAGCCCUCACCGGUCAACGACGACCACCACCGCCUCGCGUUUCGGGGGCGACACAAGGAGGCCGACGGAGCGUGAGCUGCAAGAUAAGAGGGCCAAGGGGCUUUGUUUCAGGUGCGAUGAAAGGUGGGGAGUUGGCCACCAAUGUAAGAGGAAAGAAGUUAGUGUGUUGCUCGUCGACGAGGACGAUGAUCAGGGUGAGGAGGAGGACCGUGAGUUUUAGGCGAUUGAGAAUUCCGAGGAGUUGGAGACGCCGGCGACGGUGUGUAUUAAUUCUAUUGUUGGGAUUACUAAUCCGAAAACCAUGAAACUGCUUGGAAGGAUAGGAGACGGGGAGGUAGUGUUGAUGGUGGACCCGGGGGCCACGCAUAAUUUCAUCUCCCUUAAGGCGGUGGAGCAGUUGGGGAUUCCGUUUACGAAGUCGGGGGGAUUUGGUGUUUCAUUGGGGAACGGAGAGGCGAUCCGCGGUACUGGAAUAUGUAAGGCAGUGGAGUUAAGGCUCAAUGACGAAGCAGUGGUAAUAGAUGACUUCCUACUCUUAGAGUUAGGCAACUCAGAUGUCAUACUUGGAAUUCAAUGGCUGGAAAAAUUGGGGUAGAAGGCGCCACACGAACUAUCCGCGGAGACCCGUCCCUAGCUCGGUCGAAGAUCACUCUCAAGGCUAUGAUGAAGGUCUUGAGGAAAGAAGGAGGAGGGAUUCUGGUUGAGUUCAAUCGGCUGGAAGGGAAGGAAGUGAAUGCUCUUGACCAACCUCCAUUUCUGAAGGCUGUUCUGGAGGAAUACAGUGGGAUUUUUGAGGCACCAAGAGGACUCCUACCGAAUAGGGGCAAUGAGCAUGCCAUUGUGAUGAAGGAAGGGAGCAACCCGGUGAAUGUACGACCCUACAGAAAUCCUCAAAUUCAGAAAGAUAGAGAUAGAGAGGUUGAUCAGUGAGAUGCUGGAUGCCGACAUCAUUCGGCCCUCCACUAGUCCCUACUCGAGCCCAGUGUUGUUGGUGAAGAAAAGGGAUGGUUCUUGGAGAUUUUGUGUUGAUUAUCGUGCCCUCAACAAGGAGACCGUGCCGGAUAAAUAUCCUAUACCGGUAAUUGAUGAGUUGCUAAGUGAGUUACAUGGAGCCAAAGUCUUCUCCAAGUUAGACUUGAAGGCCGGGUACCAUCAAAUACUUGUGUGCCCCAAGGAUACUCUCAAGACGGCAUUCCGAACCCACGAGGGCCACUAUGAGUUUCUGGUGAUGCCGUUUGGCCUCACCAAUGCACCGACAACAUUCCAAUCACUCAUGAAUGAGGUAUUCCGAUCCUAUUUAAGAAAAUUUGUUGUUUUUUUUACGAUAUACUUGUGUACAGUUCUUGUGUGGAGGAUCAUGUCGGUCAUAUGAGAACAGUCCUGGAAACGCCGGAGAGAAGGCAAUUGUUUGCGAAUUUUAAAAAGUGUGAAUUUGGCAAGAGCGAGGUGGCAUACCUUGGCCACAUGAUUUUUUGGCCGUGGAGUUGCGGUAGACCAGGAGAAGAUCCAAGCCAUGGAGGGAUGGCAGACUCCACGCAAUUUGAGAGAAUUAAGGGGAUUCUUGGGCUUAACGGGCUAUUACCGUAAAUUUAUAGCCGGCUAUGCUCAAAUAGCCCAAUCUCUUACGGAUCAGUUGCGUAAGGAUGCCUUUGGGUGGUGUGAAGCUGCCACCAGAGCAUUCGAAGAAUUGAAGGGCACAAUGAUUGUUGCCUCGGUGCUUGCCAUGCCGAAUUUUCAUAAAGACUUUGUGAUUGAGACGGAUGCGCCCGGGUAUGGGCUUGGAGCUGUAAUGAUGCAAGACGGCAGGCCCAUUGCAUUACUUAGUCGGGUACUUGGGCCACGAGCGAGAGCUAAAUCCAUAUAUGAAAAGGAGUUGAUGGCGGUUUGUUUAGCGGUCCAAAAGUGGAAACAUUACUUGUUGGGCCGCCACUUUGUGAUCCGCACCGAUCAACAAAGUCUGCGGCACAUAACCCAGUAGCGUGAAAUAGGAACAGAUUAUCAACGUUGGGUGAGGAAACUUAUCGGGUUCGACUUCGAGAUUCAAUAUAAGCGGGGGCAUCUAAUCGGGUGGUGGAUGCACCCUCACGAAAGGAGGGAGGGGAGUUAGAAUUUGGAAGUUGGGAAUUAGGGGCACUGAUAUCGUCCCAGGGCAUUAACCGGAAGGGGCUGGAAGAGGAAGUUGAGAAGGAUGAAGCAUUGCGUAAAGUUAAAACAGAAUUACAAGCAGGGAGAUUUCUGGGUUUCACAUGGAGGGGGACAGAUUGUUGUAUAAGGGGCGAAUGGUGAUUGCCAAAGGUUCGUCCUUUAUUCCGGUACUACUGUGAGUAUCAUGAUUCGUCUGAGGUCAAGACCUAUUUUGGGCUGGCGUCGGAAUAGUUUUGGCAGGGCAUGCGCAAGAGGGUCACACACCACGUGCAGAAUUGCAGCGUUUGCCAAAGAAACAAACACUCUCAACAAAGCCUGGCACGGCUGCUGCAACCCUUGCCCAUACCAGCCGCGGUUUGGGAGGAGGUGACCAUGGUUUGGGAGGAGGUGACCAUGGAUUUUGUUGAGGGCUUACCCUUGUCUCGGGGAGACACUAUCCUCGUUGUGGUGGACCGCUUGUCCAAAUACGCGCACUUUAUUGGGUUGAAGCACCCCUUCACCGUGUACACUGUGGCUGGCAGCUUUAUCAAGGAGGUGGUCCGACUCCACGGUUCCCUUCAUCAAUUAUCUCAGACCGCGAUUGUGUGUUUUUAAGUGUCUUUUGGAAGGAAUUGUUCAAGCUUCACGGCACAGACUUGAAGCGUAGCACCUCCUAUCAUCCACAAACGGAUGGACAGUCCGAGAAUGUUAACACUUAACAGAACCACCAAGAUUGUGGCGUUUGGGCAAUAACAAUACCACUGUUGGGAGCAUAGAAGAGAUGUUACAGGAGAGAGAUUACAUGUUAGAUGAGCUGAAACUGAAUUUAUUCAAGGCACAACAAGCGAUGAAGCAACAUGCAGAUAAGAGACGAAGAGAGGAACAAUUUGUAGUUGGGGAUAUGGUGUUUUUGAAACUGCAACCGUACAGACAGAAAACCUUGGCCAAGAGACCCUUUGAGAAGCUAUCUGCUCGCUUCUAUGGGCCUUUUGAGGUGUUGCAGAGGAUUGGGCAAGUAGCAUACAAGCUGAAGCUACCCACUACUUGCAAGGUGCACCCUGUCUUUCAUGUGUCCCAACUUCGUAGGGCAGUGGGCACACAGGAGGUCUCUCCUUCGAUCCCUGAACAAUUGACGAGUGAGCUGGAACUCGUGGUAGAGCCAGAGAAGUUGCUGGAGGUACGUAGCACAGCAAGAGGUCAGGAGAGGAUGCUGGAAGUCUUGAUCAAAUGGAAGCACUUGCCACCUUUUGAGGCAACCUGGGAAGAAGCUGCUGAAAUCCAUGAGCGUUUUCCGGACUUCCACUCUUGAGGACAAGGUGAGUCUUUGGGGUUGCGGUGAUGUAAUGAACCAACCUGAUGUGGGCCGUUUUCAAUUGGUUUACAGCAGGAGACAAAAAGGGACACACAAAGCAACACAAGUCAGAAACUAGGCAAGGCAUCAAGGGGGCGUUUCCACUACUGCUAGCAGAAAAGGACAGCAACAGCUCAUUAAAUCAAGUUUACUAUGCGAUAGGCUUUAGUGCAUAAAUAGUAGAAGCAAGAGAGAGAAAGCUAUUGUGUUUUGUAUUAACUAAAUAGAUUUGUGGCCUCAAGUCACUUCCUUGAGAGUUGUAGCCUAGAGCUACUAGUUUGUAUUGUCCGUACCAGUUGGUUGAAAUCAGAAAUCAAAGCUUCCUCUUUUGGUCCAAUUGUGGUGUUGUUUCUUAUAAUUUCAGGUUGAAGAUAACAAGUUCUUUGCAGUGUUCCACGCAGGAAUGUGAAAGUUUGUGUAGUUCCUGUGUCAUUGGACUAAAAUGUUAGAUGUGAGGGUAUGAACAAGCAAAUAUAAGAAUGGAGUUGGCUAUUCAACGUGAGGACAUGUAUUAUCUCCAAAUUCUAUCUUAUGAAACUGGUUUUGUAGUAACACAUCAAAUUCAACUAAGACUUUAAAUAAAUUAUUGUAAAAUUCUUAUUAGUAGUUUGUGUCCUUUACCUGCAUUUUUGCAAUUCAGUUGAAUACUCAGAGCGCAAUUGUGUGUGGAACUCCUUUAUCUAGCUUACAAGUACAAUAUCUCAAAGAAAUUUUCUUUAAUCUCCAUGAAUUUGUGCUAAUUGGAGUUUCUGCUUGUCCCCUUUCCUUAUAGGAUUCCAGAGUAAUGUUAUGUGCCCAAUCUUGUGUUGCUUUCGUUGAUGAAUGUUUGCUCUUAUCCACUGAUUCUGGUUUUUCUUUGUUUGUUUAUCUGUACAAAACGUGUAUGUCAUGCUUAUAAUUGAUGUAUUGAUGCAUUGUACUUCCUUGUGUUACUCUAAAUCAGAAUGUAGUGUUAUUGUAGAUUUGUAGAUGAGGAGUUGUAGUUAUGGAUUGACAUGAAAACCAAUUAAAUGCUUAUAGAAUAUAGAUGUACUCUUAAGCUUGAUUUACAAAUCAUCUGCUCUUUGACACGGAACAUAGUUUUGUACUGAUACACAGCAUAUACUCAUGAACCUGACGAGAUUGAUCCUUUGCCACCUUGGAUUGUUGAUCUAGAAUAGUAGACUUGUGCAUAGCAUUGAUUGUUAGAUUUGUCACACUUGCACAUCCAAAUAUUGAUGAAUUAAUGCUUCUACCAUAUUCCCUAUGUAUGUGAGUCCACUUUAUACAGCCAAAGCCAGUGAAUGAGUUCAACGGUUGAUUGUCCCUCCUGUGUACCUCAGGAGUGUAGGCAUGGUUGUUGGCCAGCAAAUGUAUUCUUGUGCAGGAUGGUAAUAGUCAAAGUUUCUACCCAUUAGUAACGGUUACCAUGUGCUCUUCCUAGCUAAAUUGUACUCAGAAAGUCACCGAGUUACCGUGCAUUCUUUAUAUAUACUUCCCUUAUACCUGCUUUUCUUUUAGAAAAAAUUGAUAGUUGUCUGCCAGUCUGAAGUUGCUGCUAGUAUCAGGACAAAGGCCUGUCGAUCUCUUUAAGUGUUAUGAUUUUUAUCAAUCAUGAAUGCGUGGCUUUUGAAGUAAACUUAGCAAGACUUGUCAGAUGCGUAUACCAAGGUCUCCGAUUCAUGUAUUUCAGGUUUUCUUAUGGGAGUGUCCAAAUUUCUGUUCUAUUUCUGUGGACAAGGAUCAUACUCGGGAUAAGAAAUAUGAGGGACUAUUGUGUGAAUGAAGAGUAUGAGGAUCACAUGCUGGCUCAUCGGAUGAAAAUUAGUACUCGGUGAGUCGACAUAUCCCUAUGUGGUCAUUACUUUUCAAUUGUCAUGAACGCUGGUUUUCUGAUCACUUCUGCCGUGGAGGACUCAGAAUUAAUUGUCGAAUUCUUUGUUAAGGAUCAAGAUUGGGAUCCUGAGACAGUGAGACGAUUCUUACAAUCUUGUUACAUUUGCAGCAUGAAAUGUAAGUGGCAUGUUCGGAUUUUCCUUGUUAAUUUAUGUAGUUUUCCACUUUUCAGUCAAAAGAUUUAAGAUCGGGAUCCUGUAUGUCUUUUUUCAUGUUACUGCUGAGGUGUUGGUGAAGAUUGAAAUUUGAGACAUGAAAGAAAAUUGAAGUGGGUAUCAACAAGUGAAAUGUUUUACUUUCUUUCUAUUUCUCUAUGUAUGCAGUGCGCAGAAGGUUUAGAAGUCGUAUCCCAUGCUCAAGAGUUUUCCCAUUGUCAGAAUCGUCAACUCUAGAUUAGAGACUUGAAGCUUGUGAUGAGUUGCCUGAUUUUAAUCACCACGUAUUUAUCUAUCGAUGCCUGUACUCAGAGGGCACAGACUUACUGAAAGGUCUUAGCCAGAGGAUGAGUACACAAUUGGUUUUGUGGAGAAUCUGUCUGAUGCAUUUGGUAGUCCCUGAGCUCUAGUUUGUUACCAGUUUACUUAAUUUACUACAUUAUCUGAGAAGCUGAAUGUAUAGCUUUAUCGUGUACCAACUAGUUUUGCCAGAUAUGGUAUUGGUGGUGUUACUGUUAGGUGUUAACUUUGUCAUUGAGCUAAUCAAAUUAUGGACUGAUUCCACCA